rnacentral:lncRNA from 1 species
AAUCAUUAAGUCUAUCUAAAAAAAUAGCUUAAUUGAAUAGGAGGCCCUUAAACUAUGUCUUUUAUUUGAAUUAGUUACCUAAUCUUUUUAUCGAAUCACAUAUCUAAACUUUAUGCCGUGACCAAAAUUGACCCCUACCAUUAUAUUUAGUUAAAAAAAAAAACCAGAACCAAUAUAAAAGAGCCACCUCACCAACUCAUUAAAAUCUAAUUAAAUAAAAAUAUAUAUUAAUAUUAAAAAAAUAUUUCCUCCCCAUCGUCCUUCUCCC